UCUUGUCCUAUUUUUUGCUUUAUUUUAGUUACAUGUAUAGUUGACAUUUCUUCUUCAGGGAAGGUAGGCUGCGUGAGUGCUGGCCACCAUUUCUUUCCUCGUCCUUGAGCUCUCCGUGGAUCUAGCGCAGUGCCCUCGACAGACAAGAUACUUGGCUUCUGUUUAUCCCAUCGCGUGUGGGAGCUGCAUCCAAAGGAGCGAGUGCUAGAGUCCAUCCACAGCACGGCUGCUGGUGGCGGCAGUUCAGUUUUGUUGCAGAACCAGAGAACACAUCCCCGUGCUCUGUGCAUGCCCCACUCAUCAAGGAACAGCCAGUAAUAACGGCACAGGCUUGCUCUUGGAACUUCCACCGCAUCCCUGGUAGCUUCCCUUGUAAUAUCAAUCAUGAGACCACAUUCCAAAGACCCCAGAGAGGGGCUAGAAAGCUAAAUAUUACAUUAGCUGAUUCCCUGGCAACUAGGAUUCUGGAAGCACAAUAAAACACCAAGUAAAUACACCCCCACAAAAUUACAAAGACAGAAGGCAAAAGAGAAAACCUUUUUUCUGCUGAUGUUUCUGCUACGAGAGACAGUAGCUGCAAGCAAAAUCAGCAUUCCUGUCAAGACCAUGGCUUUGGGGUGUCAUACAUCGGUCCUAGCAGUGUGAUCAGCCAACGUCCCCUGAUCUCUGAUGAAUCCCAACUAUGUUGGAGACAGUUAAGCCCAGCUGUGGGUCCCUGCCUCUUGCUCUGCCCCAUCUUCAAAUAAUUUUGUAAGCACCCAAUUCCUUGUAUUAAAUCACUUUCAUCUGGAAUAUCCAGAGCAAAGAAUUUGUUUCUUGCACUGAAAUCGGCUAAACUGUGAUGGUACAGGAUCAAGUAGAUAACAAUUUGCCUACAGAUAGCUAAAGAUUUAUUUAUGUAUUCUGCUACAAACUACAUGAUGGGAGAGUCUGUCUUGGACAUCUUUGUGUGAGACACCCAAAUCCCAGAGCACGGCUCAGUAUUUGGCAUCUUGAAUAGAGACUGGAAGUGUGAGGCCUCAUAUCACAGAGGAGAGUGAUCAGGAAAUCAAGGCCAAUGAUAUCAAAGCCUGAAACUGUUGUCUUCUUUACGGUGAAGAGUUGUAAAAAGCAUGGAAAUAACCUCAGCAGUGAACUGAAUCCUGCCCGCCUUCCACUAAUUUGACUUUAUGACUUGGGAGGACUUAGCUGACUGAAAAUUGCACAUCUUUUCAGAAACAGAAUCGGUGCAGAUGUGUGCACAGCUGCCCCUGGAGCCCCAGAGCCCCCUCAAAGGAAAGACACCCUCACGUGCUCCUCGAAUUCCCACACCCAUGGGACGGAUGUGACAUUCAUUUCGCAAAUGCAAUGGAGGUGGUGGGAUCACCACACAACAGCGCGCCACUCAAAACCAUGUGCCGAGUCGUGGGGAAGCCAUGCCAGAAGCCAAGGGCGUGGCCCUCGUUCCAUGGGGCCCCACUUCCACCCUCCCAGGAUGGCCCGUGAAAGGCUUCUGCUACUUUCGGACAACUGAGGGGUCACACUCGGAAAGCUCCAGGCAUCGCGCCGACAGCUCAGCCAGCCA